CACGAAAGCCGUGGGGGAUCAAACAGGGAUAGAUACCCUGGGUAGUCCACGCAGUAAACGAUGAAGACUUGUGUCGGCGAUAGAAUGUCGGUGACAAAGCGAAAGCGAUAAGUCUUCCACCUGGGGAGUACGAUCGCAAGGUUGAAACUCAAAGGAAUUGACGGGGGCCCGCACAAGCGGAGGGGCAUGUGGUUUAAUUCGAUGAUACGCGAGGAACCUUACCUGGACUCAAAUGUUGAGCGACCGUUCCAGAAAUGGGACUUCCCUUCGGGGCGCUCAGCAAGGUGCUGCAUGGUUGUCGUCAGCUCGUGCCGUGAGGUGUCAGGUUAAGUCCUAUAACGAGCGCAACCCCUACGCCCAGUUGCCAGCGGGUAAAGCCGGGGACUCUGGGGGAACUGCCCGCGCAAGCGGAGAGGAAGGUGGGGAUGACGUCAAAUCAGCACGGCCCUUACGUCCAGGGCGACACACGUGCUACAAUGGCCGGUACAGAGGGCAGCCACCUGGCGACAGGGAGCGAAUCUCGAAAGCCGGUCUCAGUUCGGAUCGGAGUCUGCAACUCGACUCCGUGAAGUUGGAUUCGCUAGUAAUCGCGCAUCAGCCAUGGCGCGGUGAAUACGUUCCCGGGCCUUGUACACACCGCCCGUCAAGCCAUGAAAGUCCGGGGUACCUGAAGUCCGUGACCGAGAGGAGCGGCCUAGGGUAAAACGGGUGAUUGGGGCUAAGUCGUAACAAGGUAGCCGUA
rnacentral:rRNA from 1 species